rnacentral:rRNA from 1 species
CAAUAGCGUAUAUUAAAGUUGUUGCAGUUAAAAAGCUCGUAGUUGGAUUUCGGGACGGGCCAGUUGGUACGCCGCAAGGUGUGUUACUGACUGGUCUGUUCUUCUUCGCAAAGACUGCGUGUGCUCUUCGUUGAGUGUGCGUAGGAUUUACGACGUUUACUUUGAAAAAAUUAGAGUGUUCAAAGCAGGCUAUCGCUUGAAUACAUGAGCAUGGAAUAAUGGAAUAGGACUUUGGUCCUAUUUUGUUGGUUUCUAGGACCGAAGUAAUGAUUAAGAGGGACAAUUGGGGGCAUCCGUAUUUCGUUGUCAGAGGUGAAAUUCUUGGAUUUACGAAAGACGAACAACUGCGAAAGCACUUGCCAAGAGUGUUUUCAUUAA